GUGAAAGAGCCUUGGAGACUGAAGCCAUUUAUUCACAGAAUAGGUACAGCAUAGACAGCAAGCACAGAAGCUGCUAAGCUGUACCUCCACAUGGGCUAUGUCAGUGUGUCUGAACUCUGGUCUGGAAGGAGCACCUCCACAUCUGAGAUGGUACAAGUCUCUGUGGCCCAUUCAGCCAUUGACCUUU
rnacentral:sRNA from 1 species